AGUGCAGCACAGACAGGGACACAGCCCAGGAGCUCCUGAGGUCCCUGGCGACAGUUAGCUCAGGACAAGAGGACAAGAAGCCACACAUGGUCCUGUUCUUCUAGUGUGACCUGUGGGAAGCUGAGGUGGAAGGGGGCAUAGCCUACUCACUCGUGAGAUAGGAACUUAACGCGUGGCACUGCCCAUUCGCGCCCAGAGACCAAGAGCAAAUGGAAGCCCAGGGGAUACAAGGAGCAGAGUCUCUGGAUCUACGGCAGGAGGAAGGACCUGAGUACUGGAGAGAUAAAAGGCUGGCCUCAAACUCAGCAUUCUUCCCCCAGAACAGCAGGGUGGCCCUGCCGGGGCAGGGUAGCCCAGUACAAGCCUCAAGCCAGUGUCAGCAGGUCCAACGACAGCGCUGGCGGCCUCGGCUCCGGGGCACUCGUGUGGCUCCGGUUCUGCUUUUCCUCCAAGUCCCUCAGGGAGCCGUGAGGGAAGAAAGGGCUCGGAGCUGAGGCCACAGUCUUCUCACUGCCGAUUCGGGGUUGCUGUGCUGGCACUGUGCAGUGUUGUGUGGCACUGCCAGGUGUGCACACGGGUGGCCUGGCACUCAGCCUUCUCCAGCCAGUAUCCGGGGUCGGCAGCUGCCGCUCGGGCCAGCGCGGGUGCCUGGAUCCGGGAUCAACUCUGGGAUGCUGCGUCUCCGCGCCAUGGCCGGGACCUUUCUGAGUGUGAGUUUCCGAUUCCAGUCUAGAGGGGUGAGGUGACGUGAUGAAGGACCAUAAGCGAGUGCCAGGCUCCCUGGGCCCCAGGGAGCAGUCGCCAGGGGGACUGACACCCCCACUCUCUCCUCUUCCUCCACCAACCUGCGGUGUGCAGAGCAGCCGUGGGACUUCACAGGGGCAGUGAACGCACCACGUGGACACCACGACCCAGGAUGCCCUUCCUCUGGUCAGUGAUCCCGACACACUCUGCUGCCACGUCGGCAUGCAUUCUCCCCCAAGGACACACCACCCACGAGGACUCCUGUCCCACAAGGACUCCUGUCCCACAAGGACUCACGGCCCACGAGGACUCACGGCCCACAAGGACUCACAGCUCAUGAGGCCUCUCAGCCCACGAAGACUCACGAGAACUCAUGGCCCAUGAGGACUCACAGCCCUUGAGGACUCAUGAGGACACACGGCUCACGAGGACACACGGCCCACGAGGACUCACAAGGACUCACAGCCCACGAGGAUGCACAGCCCACGAGGACGCGCAGAUGAGUCAUGCUGUCCCUGUGGUUUGGCAUCGGGAGACCAGAUGCUGGCUCUGGUCCUGUCACAGUGAAGACGCACGUGUGCUGAGAGGCUGCAGCCAUGGAAUUGUGAGCUCUGGGGGUGCGGAAGGUCAAAGAGCUGCCUCGCGUCCCCACAUGCUUACAGACGUCAGCAGCUCCCGGGCCCGGAAGGCCGGACGAGCGAGCGUGCUUCAGGUGCAGCAGACCACCGUAAAAGAAAAGCUCAGGGGAUGGAUCUAGGUGCACAGCUCUGGAGAGGCCACCCCCGAGGCACCACACAGAGCCACAGUCCCGGCCUCCGUCUUUCUCUGCCACAACCAGACAAGCUCACGCUGGCAUGCUCUGCCCGGAGAAGAACGACCCCAGCGUCGGUGUACAGCCCGGGGCCAUGAUGACUGGUGUGGUGCACAGCGCGUGUCAGCAGCUCACCAGAGCCUCCGUGGGCCCAAGGGUCUGUUCCUGUGCGUCCAGCACAGUGGCGGGCAGGAGCCACAGUCACACCGGCUAGCACUUCCGGGAGUGCAGGCCCGUAGGACGGCACAGCAGCUGCACGUGCAAGCGUGACUCUGUCCCACCUGACAGGUCUGAGGCUCAGGAAGAGGCAAAGGAAGCUUCCUCUCUGGGUUCUAGUGGUCCCCGGCAGAAGGAUCUUAGAGAAGUGGCACACCUGGGCACUGUCAUGUCCCAGAGAAACCCAGGGCAAACGGCUGUCUGCUGCUGUGAGCACACCAAGGGUCCUGUUGGCCCAGGCUCCCAGUCCUGGGGCUCCCCUCAUCUCCUCACCCCAGGCUACCCUAACAUCUCCUUCAUGGCCUUCCCUUCCCCGAGCUUCUUAUUCCAAUAUAAUCCUGCCAUUCUAGCCAGGGACCCUGUCAUUCCCCUCGCUUGGACCUGUCUCUCUCUCGGUCCUCUCUCUCUGUCUCUCUCUCUGUCUCUCUCUCUGUCUCUCUCUCUGUCUCUCUCUCUCUCUCUCUCUCUCUCUGUCCCCUCUCUGUCCUCUGCCUUGGUCUCCUCUCUUCUCUCUCUUGGUCCCCUCUCUUUUCUCUGUCUUGGUCCUCUCUUUGUCCUCUGUCUUGGUCCUCUCUCUCGGUCUCCUCUUCAUCACCUAAUCUCUUCCUUUCUUGCUCCUCCCUCCUCUCUCUCCUUUCUUGGCCCAUUUCACUCUGCUGUUCGGUCCACUUCCUUCCGUGCUCUGGACUCUUCCAGAUGCCUCUGGCUGUUCUCUCCCUCGUGUCUACAGCAACACCCUCCUCGAGCACACCCUGUAGCCAUGUCCUCACCGUCUACGUUCAUGGUGGACGCCUUUUCCCUCUGGGCGAGGCAGAACCCCCUUUCCCACCCCAGGCUCACCCCUCCUUCUACCCAGCAGGAAAACCUGGACUAGAAGCCCAGGUUAGAAAGCUCUAUUUGUCAUCAUAGUCUCCACCAGGCCCAUGGGUACAUGCUGAGGAGGUGACGGGCAGUGCCGCGUGGAAGCACCUGCAGCCAGUGCCCUGGGAAUAUCACUUGCAGAGCACAGCUUCCGUCCUGCAGGUACCCGCUUCGUAGCACAAACUCGAGAAGGAAUGCCUGACUCAGGGCCAAGGAGAUGGCCUGCUGGACUAGAACUUGGACCCACAGAGUCCAUAGAAGUGGCAGCGGGUGUGUGGCAGCACACUCCAAUCCCACCACACGGAAGGCCAAGACAGGAGGUCCCGGAAGCAAGCUGGUAGCUAGACUAGCCCAACCGGAAGCUCUGGCUCACUGUACUGCCUUUCCAUGUGACGGGGAAGCAGUACAGGAAAAGCUGCCACCCACCAGCCUCCACAUACAUUCAUGAACAUGCACACACACACAUACAUCCAUGACAUGCAUAUACACACAUGCAUUCAUAGCAUGCAUAUACACACAUACAUCUAUGACACACAUUUACACACAUACAUUCAUAACAUGCAUACACACACAUACAUCCAUGACAUGCAUAUUCACACAAACAUUCAUAACGUGUAUACACACAUGCAUUCAUAGCAUGCAUAUACACACAUACAUCCAUGACACACAUUUACACACAUACAUUCAUAACAUGCAUACACACACAUACAUCCAUGACAUGCAUAUACACACAUGCAUUCAUAGCAUGCAUAUACACACAUACAUCCAUGACACACAUUUACACACAUACAUUCAUAACAUACAUAUACACACAUACAUCCAUGACAUGCAUAUUCACACAAACAUUCAUAACGUGUAUACACACAUGCAUCCAUAACAUGCAUAUACACACAUACAUCCAUGACACACAUUUACACACAUACAUUCAUAACAUACAUAUACACACAUACAUCCAUGACAUGCAUAUACACACAUACAUUCAUAACGUGUAUACACACACACACACACACACACACACACACACACGAAGCAAUAUGAACACUUAGGGAUCAAGCUGCUUCUUUUCAACCAAAUCAAGUCACCCUGACGGCAGCCUAUGGAAGCUACAGGAUCUUUGUGAACACACACACACACACACACACACACACACCCUGGUACCAUAUUCAGAAACAUGAUCAUUGAAGGCAAGUGAAAUCAAGACCUGCCAUAUUUCUGUCUUACCCAAAGAGCCAGUCAGAUCACCGUGAGGCUGGAAACCCAUGCGUGCACCACAGUAAGCCAUAAUGACCCUGAAGACAGGGGCUGAGCCUGCUGUGCAACAGGACUAAGAGCACAGAUCCUGGGAUUCUUGUCCUUCCUGCCCCUACAUUCUUAUUAUAAGCCCGAGAAGAACCAAACAGCUAAGAAGUUUGUUCCCAGGCAGUGAGCGCACGUUCAAAGCCUCGCCUUCAACCUCUGCACGCAAAAAGCAAUGCGGUUCCUUUCCUGGUGACAUGGAGUAGUGUGCUCAGCCACCUCUGUGCAACGUCCUGCUGAACCUAAUGGCCGACUCACUUUACAUGGAGGGUGGGCGGGGCUGGUGCCCGGCGUGCUCUGCCCACUGUCAGACACAAGUGACGAGGCAAUAGGGGUGGACUCUCGUUAGCACAGUGUUACACACACAGGACGAGGCGGGGUGCUCGGAACGGAAGCUAGGAAGUUUUCACUGGGUUUACACUUUCACUGUCCAACACAGUCAAUGCAUGAAACAUUUAUGACAGCAUCAUAACUAGAGAAACCACCUGCUUUCCUCCUUCUCCUGACUGUCACUGGCACUGUCCUUCCCCGCCCCUGACCUUCUGUUUGUCCUGGUCCGCUGCGCACGCGCGCGCGCACACACGUCUUCUGCAUGUAGCUAUAGUAUUGCCUAGAUUCCAGAAUUGAGGAAGAACACUCAGUUGUUGGUUGUUUUUUGUUUUUGUUUUUGUUUUCUGAGAAUGUGUGAUCUUGCUUAAUACUUUCCAUCCCAAGUCCACCCAUUUUCCUGCAAAUUUUAUGAUUUUAUUUUUCUUUAGAGCUGACUAGUAUAAAAUAUCUUUCAAAUUUUCACUAUCAAUUCAUCUGCUGAUGCGCAACUAGGUUGAUUCCAAGUUUUUGUUAUGGUGAACAGCCAUAUGGUCUCUGGGCGUUGUUAACUUUAAUAUGUGACUUUUUAUUUGCAUUUUAUAAUAAAGUUUGUAACAUUUUAUAAUAAAGUUUAAAUUUUUUAAAUUAAGUAAAAACCACAAAACAUA